AGAGUUUGAUCCUGGCUCAGAACGAACGCUGGCGGCAGGCCUAACACAUGCAAGUCGAGCGAGAUCUUCGGAUCUAGCGGCGGACGGGUUAGUAACGCGUGGGAACGUACCCAAAGGUAGGGAAUAGCCACUGGAAACGGUGAGUAAUACCCUAUGUGCCCUUCGGGGGAAAGAUUUAUCGCCUUUGGAUCGGCCCGCGUUAGAUUAGAUAGUUGGUGGGGUAACGGCCUACCAAGUCUACGAUCUAUAGCUGGUUUUAGAGGAUGAUCAGCAACACUGGGACUGAGACACGGCCCAGACUCCUACGGGAGGCAGCAGUGGGGAAUCUUGGACAAUGGGGGCAACCCUGAUCCAGCCAUGCCGCGUGAGUGAUGAAGGCCCUAGGGUCGUGAAGCUCUUUCGCCUGUGAAGAUAAUGACUGAGCAGGAAAGAACCCCGGC
rnacentral:rRNA from 1 species